rnacentral:rRNA from 1 species
GGGGAAUUUUCCGCAAUGGGCGCGAGCCUGACGGAGCAAGACCGCGUGAGGGGAGAAGGUCUGUGGAUUGUAAACCUCUUUUGAUAGGGAAGAAGACAGUGACGGUACCUAUCGAAUCAGCCUCGGCUAACUCCGUGCCAGCAGCCGCGGUAAUACGGAGGAGGCAAGCGUUAUCCGGAAUUAUUGGGCGUAAAGAGUCCGUAGGUGGGUCACCCAGUCAGUUGUUAAAUAGUGAAGCUUAACUUCAUAGAGGCGACUGAAACUGGUGGUCUAGAGUGUGGUAGGGGUAGAGGGAAUUUCCAGUGUAGCGGUGAAAUGCGUAGAUAUUGGAAAGAACACCGGUGGCGAAAGCGCUCUACUGGGCCUGCACUGACACUGAGGGACGAAAGCUAGGGGAGCGAAAGGGAUUAGAUACCCCUGUAGUCCUAGCCGUAAACGAUGGAUACUAGGCGUUGCCCGUAUCGACCCGGGCAGUGUCGUAGCCAACGCGUUAAGUAUCC